rnacentral:rRNA from 1 species
UACGGAGGAUGCAAGCGUUAUCCGGAAUCAUUGGGCGUAAAGAGUCCGUAGGUGGCACUUCAAGUCGACUUUUCAAAGACCGAAGCUCAACUUCGGAAAGGGAGUGGAAACUGAAGAGCUAGAGUAUAGUAGGGGUAGAGGGAAUUCCUAGUGUAGCGGUGAAAUGCGUAGAGAUUAGGAAGAACACCAGUGGCGAAAGGCGCUCUACUGGGCAUAUACUGACACUGAGGGACGAAAGCUAGGGUAGCGAAAAGGG